GACGAACGCUGGCGGCGUGCCUAAUACAUGCAAGUAGAACGCUGAAGGAGGAGCUUGCUUCUCCGGAUGAGUUGCGAACGGGUGAGUAACGCGUAGGUAACCUGCCUGGUAGCGGGGGAUAACUAUUGGAAACGAUAGCUAAUACCGCAUAACAGUAGAUAUUGCAUGAUAUCUGCUUGAAAGGUGCAAUUGCAUCACUACCAGAUGGACCUGCGUUGUAUUAGCUAGUUGGUGAGGUAACGGCUCACCAAGGCGACGAUACAUAGCCGACCUGAGAGGGUGAUCGGCCACACUGGGACUGAGACACGGCCCAGACUCCUACGGGAGGCAGCAGUAGGGAAUCUUCGGCAAUGGACGGAGGUCUGACCGAGCAACGCCGCGUGAGUGAAGAAGGUUUUCGGAUCGUAAAGCUCUGUUGUAAGAGAAGAACGAGUGUGAGAGUGGAAAGUUCACACUGUGACGGUAUCUUACCAGAAAGGGACGGCUAACUACGUG
rnacentral:rRNA from 1 species